AAGUCUACAGUAUAGCUGCGCAAGACUUGAUGACUUUUCUACUCCAGCAGCCUGCAUAACACCUUCUAGUACUAUGAAAGUCGGCCAAAAGGGAGGAAGAUUCCUGGGCUCUCUAGGACAGCCUUGACCAAUAACUUGCUUGAAGGAAGGUAUCCCACAUCUGGCACUGGGCUUUUAUUUGGCAACCUAUGAAUUCUUGGAGGAGCAUUAUUCCCUGUGUAAGGCGGGCUUUGAGACGGAUCACCCCACUUCUGGUGCCCUCUCUGCUUCCUGCCUGUGGAUGAAGAUGUGUCCUCCAGCAUCCUGGUGCCACCUGCUACCAGGCCUUGCCUGCCAUUACAGACUCCCUUC